rnacentral:rRNA from 1 species
UACGUAGGUCCCGAGCGUUGUCCGGAUUUAUUGGGCGUAAAGCGAGCGCAGGUGGUUUAAUAAGUCUGAUGUAAAAGGCAGUGGCUCAACCAUUGUGUGCAUUGGAAACUGUUAGACUUGAGUGCAGUAGAGGAGAGUGGAAUUCCAUGUGUAGCGGUGAAAUGCGUAGAUAUAUGGAGGAACACCGGUGGCGAAAGCGGCUCUCUGGACUGUAACUGACACUGAGGCUCGCAAGCGUGGGUAGCAAACAGG